rnacentral:rRNA from 1 species
GAUGAACGCUAGCGGCAGGCCUAAUACAUGCAAGUCGAACGAGAUUAAGAGGCUUGCUUCUUAUGAAAGUGGCGCACGGGUGCGUAACGCGUAUGCAACCUACCUUAAUCAGGGGGAUAGCCCGAAGAAAUUCGGAUUAAGACCGCAUAAAAACACAGGAUAGCAUUAUCCAAUGUUCAAAUAUUUAUAGGAUUAAGAUGGGCAUGCGUGUCAUUAGCUAGUUGGCGGGGUAACGGCCCACCAAGGCGACGAUGACUAGGGGAUCUGAGAGGAUGACCCCCCGCACUGGUACUGAGACACGGACCAGACUCCUACGGGAGGCAGCAGUAAGGAAUAUUGGUCAAUGGGGGGAACUCUGAACCAGCCAUGCCGCGUGCAGGAAGACAGCCCUCUGGGUCGUAAACUGCUUUUAUUCGGGAAUAAACCUUUCUACGUGUAGGAAGCUGAAUGUACCGAAGGAAUAAGGAUCGGCUAACUCCGUG